GCCUGGGGGGCUCAGUCGGUUGAGCAUCUGACUUCGGCUCAGGUCAUGAUCUCACGGUUCGUGGGUUUGAGCCCCGCGUCGGGCU
rnacentral:tRNA from 1 species